rnacentral:rRNA from 1 species
UACGUAGGGUGCAAGCGUUUGUCCGGAAUUAUUGGGCGUAAAGAGCUUGUAGGCGGUUUGUCGCGUCUGCUGUGAAAUUUCGGGGCUCAACCCCGAACUUGCAGUGGGUACGGGCAGACUAGAGUGUGGUAGGGGAGACUGGAAUUCCUGGUGUAGCGGUGAAAUGCGCAGAUAUCAGGAGGAACACCGAUGGCGAAGGCAGGUCUCUGGGCCGAUACUGACGUGAGGAGCGAAAGCGUGGGGAGCGAACAGG